GAGCUCUGGAAUUAAAUUUCUUAACAAAAGCAAUUGCUUCUGGGGAGUUGAAAAGAGUGAUUGGCAUCAGAUAGCUGUGAAACACUGGCCCUUGGGCUUGGACCCUGGAACCAACCUGACCCCAACCUACAGCCUGGAGCACCUAGUCAAGCACAGUCAGGAUCAGCCAAUGCAAGAUCAACCUGCGGACCCAUGAGCCCAGAAGAAAUGCUUUUUUGGUGAGAUCUG
rnacentral:lncRNA from 12 species